UACGGAGGUAGAGCACUGAAUGUCCUAGGGGGUAUUGCACCUACCGAAGACUAUCAAACUCCGAAUGCCGUCAUCUUAUACUUGGGAGUCAGACUGUGGGUGAUAAGAUUCAUAGUCGAAAGGGCAACAGCCCAGAUCGUCAGCUAAGGUCCCUAAAUGUAAGUUAAGUGGUAAAGGAUGUGGGAUUGCACAGACAACCAGGAUGUUGGCUUAGAAGCAGCCACUCAUUCAAAGAGUGCGUAAUAGCUCACUGGUCGAGUGAUCCUGCGCCGAAGAUUUCCGGGGCUAAAACUUACUACCGAAGCUACGGCAUCAUUAUGAUGGGUAGGGGAGCUUCCCAUACGGGUUGAAGCAUGACCGUAAGGACAUGUGGACAGUAUGGGAGUGAGAAUGUUGGCAUGAGUAGCGAGAUGUGGGUGAGAAUCCCACAGGCCGUAAACCCAAGGU
rnacentral:rRNA from 1 species